rnacentral:tRNA from 1 species
AAUAGUAUAAUCUAAUAAAGAUAUUUCAUUGAUGUAGAAAAUAUAGAAUAAUUUCUUACUAUUA